UGAGGAAGAAUGCCAACGAACGGCUUGGGGUGUACGCCAAAGUCCGGGACCACCCAUUUUAUUCAUCAACUAAUUGGGUGGAAGUGGAAAAAAGAGCACUGGUGCCCCCUGUAAAACCACUAAUUAGAUCAGUUAAGGGGCUCAGUAAGAAUGACAACCCGUUCACCGAAGACAACGCUGGUGUGAUCCGCAUACUGAAGAACUUUGACUAUGUGGAUCCAAGCUGGCAGGAAUAAUACAUCUUUGUACCAGCACAGAGGUUCAUCCCAUCCAAAUGCCCCUCAAACAGUUCUGCAGACAUUCCACCAGCAGAAGAGCUAAC